GUAAAAGGGGAUGAAAAGGGGGGUAAAUCAAGGUCUGAAUUACAGGAAAAUUUGAAAGAGCAGAAAGAAAUGGACGAAUCACAGACAAGUCUGUUGGAAUCUGAGAACCAGCAGAGAGACACAACUCCUGCUGAGCACAGCACACCUGGGACACCUGCCCCAGAUUCUGAGUAUCAGGAGGAGUCCACAGACAACAGAUCCAGUCUGGGCCCAGACCCAGCACCAGAGGACCCAUCCUCAUGCCUGGCCCAGUCCCAGCCCUCCUCUGCAGACCCAGCUAAGUCAGACGCAAAGAGUGGUUUAGCAGAUACUGACACCAUGGAUGGGACUUUGAGUAAAGACACCAAACACACUGUGUGUACUGCAAAGGAGGAGGAGGAGGAAACUUUGAAAGAGCAGAAAGAAAUGGACGAAUCACAGACAAGUCUGUUGGAGUCUGAGAACCAGCAGACAGACACAACACCUGCUGAGCACAUCACACCUGACACACCUGCCCCAGGUACAAAGGAACAGGUUUUCAAAUCAUAUACAAAUACUUUCAGUUUUGAAAUUCAGUUUUGAAAUUAAUGAAAGAGUAUAUUUUCUGUUACCCAUUAUUAAAAGCAGCCUGACAUGAUAAAAUACGGAAUGAAAAUGUUUUUAGUGUGUAAAAUAAACUGGUAAAGCAUGUUUCUACUGUAUUGGCCUGGGAGCAAAUCCUGACCAUGCCUGUGCUAUCGGAGGCCGGUAGCCCCACAGGUGCAUUAAUGGCCAUAGUGUCACUCAGAGUUAGGGAAGAUGCAGUCUGCCUGGAUCAGUAGUGCUUUUCAGUGUGCCAGUGUCUGGUAGGAAUUUUGUAACAAAAAUGAUGGUGUUGACAAUAAAGAUAACAAACAGGAGCUCUAUUUGAUGUUUUA